AGAAACAGAAAACAGCCACCAAUAACACUCCUUCUCAGCAGAGAGGUGCCGUAUUGUUGAAGUCAAGCCAACUGAAAGAUCCCAGCAUUUAGUACUGCAAGCAUCUGUGAAAUACUUCGAAAGGAAUGGAUGGCUGCACCUGGUUCUCUUUGCCGUACCACAGUCAUUGCUGUGCAAUGCUAGCAUCAGCUAAACCUGUGCAUAGCAGCUUCACAGCUAAUCCCAGUUCCACCUGCACUGGUGCCAUUUCAGCACAUCCUGCCUGUGUUGUUAGACCGCUCAUCACAACAAGGUGUUUACAUUUCGGCCACUGCCUCCAUUUUCCUCCUCUUAGAACAUGUGAGGCAGUAAAAAACUUGGAGAGAUCCUUGGACACUGUUGGCAUUCCUGUUUUGGCAAGAAGAGAAACUGAUGGUUAUUAUUAUCCUGGCACAAUAAUAAAAGCUAUUAUAGAGGCAAGUUGCUAUAUGAUUUUUUUCUGGCAUGUGUAGAUGGGACAUUAAUAAUUCACCCCAGAAUCUUUAUGGAUUCUGCUAAAGGCGUCAGAUUCUGGGCAAGGGGUGUAUGUCAAUCACAACUGCUGCAUUCAACAGAAGUUGGUGUCUGCCUCAUUUUGAUGGAGAAAAAAACUCUUUAAUAUUAGUGGCAUCCUUCCCUCCUUUUACCUGCUGAAUAAUUGGGAAUUCUGAUGGAUCAUGAGGACCACUCUCUAGCCAUUUAUUCCACAGAGUUGCUACAAUCUGUAUUUGAAAAUUCUGUCACAUUACCACCAAGCUUUCAGCCCCAUUUGACAACCACUUUCCCAUAUUUUCAGAAAUUUCUAGAUUUCAUUUGACUUGUCUGAGGUCCAUCUUGCAUGAGACCUACUGCUGCCAAGGUCACAACUACACCAUACAUUUACAAUACAUGCUGUUCCCCUCAAAGAAUCCUGGGAAAUGUAGUUUACCCCUCACAAUUUACAAUUCCCAGCAUCCUUAACAAACUACCAGUGCCAAAAUUCUUAGUUUAGGGAAAGCUAUGUGGUUGAAAUGUGUGGUGUGGCUGUGACCCAAGUCUCUGUCCAACUUAUUGGCACAGGUUAUCUUGUGUGUGUGUGUGGUUUUUUUUAACCUUCCUGCCAAGUGUAUCUGGAGAUUUAUGCUGUUUGGGGACAAUAUCCCAUCCGUUGUUAUGAGUAAACGGAUGGACAUUAUACUUGCUGGAAAUGUCUUAGCGUGUUAAUAUAUAUAAACUUGACACUUUUUGUCCUCUGUACACAGGAAAAACAACCUUCAAUUCAUUAGCUGUUAGCACUUGAAACUUAAAAAAAAUAUGUUGUGCUGUUUUUGAAGUGUAAGAAAAAGGCAAGGCUGUUUAUCAAAGUUUCUGGAAGACUGACAAAUUUGAAAUGCCUGGUAUUCAGCAUGUAGUGGGAGUGACUGGCAAUAAUAUAUUUUUGUUUUGUAGUGUUUGAUUCCUUUCAUUACACAACAUGGUGGCCACUUAUGCGUUGCUUAAAAAAAGAGGA